rnacentral:rRNA from 1 species
AAAGAAAAUAACAAUGAUUUCCCUAGUAACGGCGAGUGAAGAGGAAAGAGCUCAAAGUUGGAACCUGUUUGGCUUAGCUAAACCGGAUUGUAAACUGUAGAAACGUUUUCCUGGCACGCCGGAUAAAUAAGUCCUUUGGAACAGGGCAUCAUAGAGGGUGAGAAUCCCGUCUUUGGUCUGAGCUGUUGCCUUUUGCGAUACGUUUUCAAAGAGUCAGGUUGUUUGGGAAUGCAGCCUAAAUUGGGUGGUAAAUCUCACCUAAAGCUAAAUAUUUGCGAGAGACCGAUAGCGAACAAGUACCGUGAGGGAAAGAUGAAAAGAACUUUGAAAAGAGAGUUAAACAGUAUGUGAAAUUGUUAAAAGGGAACCGUUUGGAGCCAGACUGGCUUGAUCGUAAUCAAUCUAGGUUUCGACCUGGAUGCACUUGCGGUCUAUGCCUGCCAACGACAAUUCUUUUUGGAGGAAAAAACUAGGAGGAAUGUGGCCCCUCGGGGUGUUAUAGCCUCUUAGAAAAUACUCUGGAUGGGAUUGAGGAACGCAGUGAAUGCCAUUAGGCGAGAUUGCUAGGCGCUUUUGUCUCUAGAUGCUAGAAUUUCUGCUUCGGGUGGUGCUAGUGUGUAAAGAUAAAACUCGUUUGGUUAAUUUUUUAUUCACUUAGGUUGUUGGCUUAAUGACUCUAAAUGAC